UACAGAGGGAGCUAGCGUUUUUCGGAUUUAUUGGGCGUAAAGAGCGCGUAGGCGGUUAGUUAAGUUGAUAGUGAAAUCCCAGGGCUUAACCCUGGUCUGUCUAUCAAAACUGACUUGCUAGAGUUCGGUAGAGGAUGAUGGAAUUCUUGGUGUAGGAGUGAAAUCCUUAGAUAUCAGGAGGAACACCGGUGGCGAAAGCGAUCAUCUGGACCGUAACUGACGCUGAUAGCGCGAAAGCGUGGGUAGCAAACAGG
rnacentral:rRNA from 1 species